UUGUGCCAGCAGCCGCGGUAAUUCCAGCACCAAUAGCGUAUAUUAAAGUUGUUGUGGUUAAAAAGCUCGUAGUUGAACCUUGGGCCUGGCUGGCCGGUCCGCCUCACCGCGUGCACUGGUCCGGCCGGGCCUUUCCCUCUGUGGAACCCCAUACCCUUCACUGGGCGUGGCGGGGAAACAGGACAUUUACUUUGAAAAAAUUAGAGUGCUCCAGGCAGGCCUAUGCUCGAAUACAUUAGCAUGGAAUAAUAAAAUAGGACGCGCGGUUCUAUUUUGUUGGUUUAUAGGACCGCCGUAAUGAUUAAUAGGGACAGUCGGGGGCAUCAGUAUUCAACUGUCAGAGGUGAAAUUCUUGGAUCAGUUGAAGACUAACUACUGCGAAAGCAUUUGCCAAGGAUGUUUUCAUUAAUCAGGAACGAAAGUUAGGGGAUCGAAGACGAUCAGAUACCGUCGUAGUCUUAACCAUAAACUAUGCCGACUAGGGAUCGGACGGUGUUAUUCAUGACCCGUUCGGCACCUUACGAGAAAUCAAAGUGCUUGGGCUCCAGGGGGAGUAUGGUCGCAAGGCUGAAACUUAAAGAAAUUGACGGAAGGGCACCACCAGGGUGGAGCCUGCGGCUUAAUUUGACUCAACACGGGGAAACUCACCAGGUCCAGACACAUAAGGAUUGACAGAUUGAGAGCUCUUUCUUGAUUUUGUGGGUGGUGUGCAUGCCGUUCUUAGUUGGUGGGGUGACUUGUCUGCUUAAUUGCGAUAACGAACGAGAC
rnacentral:rRNA from 1 species